rnacentral:lncRNA from 1 species
CCUUAGUCUAUUAACACAUUUCUCCUCAAUUCGUCAAUAUUGAAUGUAAACUCCUGAAGUUGCAAGUUAUUACAUUUGUUUGAUCUUGGGUAAUUUACCUGCAUAGUAAACCAAUUUUUAUUAUUUUUUCCAACUCUAAAUCUAUAGAUCAUGACUCUUAAAUUACAUACUAAGUUUUAAACGAACUGAAAUCAAAUAGUUGGAUUAAUUAAACGAACUAAACCCUAAUGAAUCUUUAGGCGUUUGAUGAUUUAACAUAUUGGAUCUUUUUUCUUUAUAUAAGACCAAAUGAUAGGGAUGAAAACGGAGAGAGUGGGUCCACCAGAGCUAGACUACUAUGAUGAUCCCAAUAUCCCAAUAUCCGGAUGGUGUCUAUUAUUUCCUUACUUAACAUAGGAUCAAGGGCCUCGUUGAGAUCAACCGUGUCGUUGGUUAGUGUAACUUCCCUUGUGGAAGAUGCAAGUUUGGGCUUCAGGACCUUCUUACUGAGGCCGUGCAUAGUAGGAGAGCUUCUACGGAAUUCAAUAUGUGAUCCGUUGAAUUGAUGUAGCAUUCUCGAGUGUGCUGUUGUGAUCUUUUGACCGUACAGACUUCGAUCGAAUGCGGUAGGGAAUUUCAGAUACUGGUGUUACGAAGACGUCACUGCUUGCAGGAUCAUGUGCCCCAUGAUCGUGUUGUAUCUUGAAGCUACGUCUACUACAGUCAAUUGCACACUGAUAGUUGUGUGUUGUGUGAGGUUACCAAAGAUGAUCGAGAGAAAAACUAUCCCUCUCACAGGGACCUCACUCCAUGAAAUAUUUUCCAACAAAGGAUAUCUACGGAUGACCUUAUGAUCAUGGGUGAGAUAACUAGCGGGUCAUGAUGCGGGAUGGUUAAAUCUGCCAAGUCUUCCUCGGUGAAGAUAUAGCGCUGAUUGGAUUGGGGGCUUUCCUCCUGUGGUUCGUUGAUCAUCUGCUGUGUACUAUUGAUUCUUGAUCGGAGCUGACCCACGUGAAGCUUUCCCUCAGACACUAUGAGGAGCCCUCACUUGACUGCCUCUGGCGCUUGUGUCGACUGGAUGUGUUGGUGGGCUGACUUGGCAUGAUCUCGGUCUUGCUCGAGAGGCGUACAAUUGCUCAGAUCACUCUGUAGAAGGAAGGAGAUGGAUGUGACAUUAUUUCCACCUCCAUCAUGGCUUUGUUGAGCAACAUUCUUGUAUUCUAUCCGGAUUUCUUUUUGCACCAUAAGUAAAGCCUCUGCGAAAGUUUCUAGUGGUCCACGCUCGAGCUUAGUGAUUUCCUAUAGUUAUGAACUUGUUACCUGAGUACUCCUGAGCUUCUAACAAAUUGUCUAUCUAGGGAGUUGUGUGUGAGGAGGCGUCAGAGUCUAACAGCCAGUUGCUAUCUUUUCCUUCAUCUUCCAUGGAUGUCAUUGCUUUUCCUGCUUUUCUAUAAGUUUUUGCUCCAUGGAGUGUAAUAAAUCUGACACUAUGGUUGGAUUUCUCCAUCUCCCUUUAUUUGAAUUUUUGUUGCUGAAUUUCUCAUUUUUGUAAUUUCAUUCUUUAUGAUAAUUACGAUGAUCAGAGUUGCGGUUAUUGUAAUUCUUGUUAUUGUAGAAUAUUGAUUUUGGUGCGAAUGUUGUUGGAGAUUCAUUGAUGAUUGCAGAAAUUUGAUUUGUGUAACGACGAAGAAAAAUAUUUUCCUUAACAAAAAAAUGAAUAAAUUCAUCAAAUACCAUAUUUUUCUGUGACUGAAUACAUGACAAAAAGGGGCAAAAGUUCACACUCAGACUAUUAUCCAUAAAAUCGAUCUUGCCUCUAUCAGACAAUUGAUCACCUAACGCUGCUAAACUAUUCAUCAUUUCUCGAACUUUGAUGAAAAAUUCUCACAUAGUCUCACUGUCCAAUUUCUUUAAAUGACGCAGUUCAUCUCAAAUUGUUUGUGAAUGGACCAUCUAAGUGGAGAAAGAUGUAGCUCUAGUGCCUUCCACAUUCUAUUCCAGUCUUGUGAUUCAAAACCAAAGAAAACAUCAGUGACUCAACUGAAGCAUAGAUCCAACCUAUAACAAUCCAAUUGUUUUGACGCCAAAUUUUGAAUGUUGGUUUGAAAGAACCAUCAGCCAGCUUUUCUGAAAGAAUCAUCAGUGGCUCGGUAAUUAAAUCCAUUAAAUCAUGAAUUUGAAGAAGGUUUUUCAUCUGUCGCUUCCAGAACAAAUAAGUAUCACUUUGCUCGAGAGGAGUACGGAUCCAUUGCAAUACUUGACACUUAUGCAAUUACUCUGGAAUUGAUUCAGUGGUCUUGGGAUAUCCAGAAAAAUAUUGAAUCGGAUUCCAUACCCGAAUGUAAAUGUACGAGAGAAAAAAAAUUGCGAAUGAAAUAACUAAAAUCAGACCUGACCAGAAUCCGAAGAAUCAAGAAGAAGAAAAAUCAAUUCUGGAAUCAAUCAGAACUGAACAGAAGUCGCAUAACUGAACUGAAUCGCAAACGAAGAGAAUCGCGUCGCAAUGAAGAAGAGUCGCGAAGUCAGAGCAAAAUCAGAACAGAACCGCGUCAGACGAAGAAUGCGUUUUGGAAU